UCCUCUAUAGCUUACACAAUUAUAGUUAUGCCAGUAUAAAUACCUAAUAGGAUUCUGGCAUUGAAUGUUUCACAAGGCCAGUAAAAAAGAUAUAGUGAUCUCUCCAUAUUAGAACACUGAUAGAUUUACCUGAAAAGUAAAGUGUCUUAUUUUGAAGCACUAUACCAUCAACUGGGCUUGGAGGUACUAGAUGGGGACUGCUGUGAAAAAAUCUGCCUUUUUCUUGCUUUAAAUUUAGAUUUCAUUCACCCGCAUUCUUUUGUUCACUUCAGUCUAUAGAAGAGCUGAGCAAAUAUUGCUUAGACCAGAAGAUAUCUUUUCCUAAGACUGUGUUGUCUGAAGAAGGCAAGAAGAAUCCAAAGGAAUGCUAUAUUUUUGAAGACAAGGUUCAGAUGCCCCAAUUAUACUUCACUUCCCACUGGAGAAUGCCUCUUUCAGGGAGUACGAAAAACCUGACUCUCACAGAUAAAAAUCUUUUCUGCACCCCCACCAACAAAAGGGAAUACAAAUAUACACAUCACCUAUGUAUAUUUACUGAAGACUAUUUAACAGUGGGACGAUAAACAUUUUGAUGGCUACAUCAUAUUUCAGAAUAAGUGUGAGUUAAUUCUUCCUAAAGGACUUUAUCAUUGUUUAAAUCAGUUUUAGGAUAUCUUAGGAAUCAGAGCAAGAACACACCUCAAUAAGAUCUAUGUACUUUCUCUACUUUCCCCCCCUCAGCUCCUGGUAUGAGAAGGAAAUAAUAAAGUAGAACUUACAUUGCCUAGAAGCCCA
ensembl:lncRNA